GCAUAUCAAUAGCAUAUCAAUAAGCGGAGGAAAAGAAACCAACAGGGAUUGCCCCAGUAGCGGCGAGUGAAGCGGCAAGAGCUCAGAUUUGAAAUCGUGUUUCGGCACGAGUUGUAGAGUGUAGGCGGGAGUCUCUGUGGAGCGCGGUGUCCAAGUCCCUUGGAACAGGGUGCCUGAGAGGGUGAGAGCCCCGUAGGGUGCUGCGCGAAGCUUUUGAGGCCCUGCUGACGAGUCGAGUUGUUUGGGAAUGCAGCUCCAAGCGGGUGGUAAAUUCCAUCUAAGGCUAAAUAUUGGCGAGAGACCGAUAGCGAACAAGUACUGUGAAGGAAAGAUGAAAAGCACUUUGAAAAGAGAGUGAAACAGCACGUGAAAUUGUUGAAAGGGAAGGGUAUUGGGCUCGACAUGGGGGGUGCGCACCGCUGUCUCUUGUAGGCGGCGCUCUGGGCGCCCUCUGGGCCAGCAUCGGUUCCUGCUGCGGGAGAAGGGGCUCCGGAAAGUGGCUCUUCGGAGUGUUAUAGCCGGGGCCAGAUGCCGCGUGUGGGGACCGAGGACUGCGGCUUCUGUCUCGGAUGCUGGCAUAACGGCGCAAUACCGCCCGUCUU
rnacentral:rRNA from 1 species